GAUGAACCACUUCGGUGGGGAUUAGUGGCGAACGGGUGAGUAACACGUGGGCAAUCUGCCCUGCACUCUGGGACAAGCCCUGGAAACGGGGUCUAAUACCGGAUAUGAGCCGGGACCGCAUGGUUCUGGCUGUAAAGCUCCGGCGGUGCAGGAUGAGCCCGCGGCCUAUCAGCUUGUUGGUGAGGUAACGGCUCACCAAGGCGACGACGGGUAGCCGGCCUGAGAGGGCGACCGGCCACACUGGGACUGAGACACGGCCCAGACUCCUACGGGAGGCAGCAGUGGGGAAUAUUGCACAAUGGGCGCAAGCCUGAUGCAGCGACGCCGCGUGAGGGAUGACGGCCUUCGGGUUGUAAACCUCUUUCAGCAGGGAAGAAGCGCAAGUGACGGUACCUGCAGAAGAAGCGCCGGCUAACUACGUGCCAGCAGCCGCGGUAAUACGUAGGGCGCAAGCGUUGUCCGGAAUUAUUGGGCGUAAAGAGCUCGUAGGCGGCUUGUCGCGUCGGUUGUGAAAGCCCGGGGCUUAACCCCGGGUCUGCAGUCGAUACGGGCAGGCUAGAGUUCGGUAGGGGAGAUCGGAAUUCCUGGUGUAGCGGUGAAAUGCGCAGAUAUCAGGAGGAACACCGGUGGCGAAGGCGGAUCUCUGGGCCGAUACUGACGCUGAGGAGCGAAAGCGUGGGGAGCGAACAGGAUUAGAUACCCUGGUAGUCCACGCCGUAAACGGUGGGCACUAGGUGUGGGCAACAUUCCACGUUGUCCGUGCCGCAGCUAACGCAUUAAGUGCCCCGCCUGGAGAGUACGGCCGCA
rnacentral:rRNA from 1 species